AUCCUGGCUCAGAUUGAACGCUGGCGGCAGGCCUAACACAUGCAAGUCGAGCGGAUGACGGGAGCUUGCUCCUUGAUUCAGCGGCGGACGGGUGAGUAAUGCCUAGGAAUCUGCCUGGUAGUGGGGGACAACGUUUCGAAAGGAACGCUAAUACCGCAUACGUCCUACGGGAGAAAGCAGGGGACCUUCGGGCCUUGCGCUAUCAGAUGAGCCUAGGUCGGAUUAGCUAGUUGGUGAGGUAAUGGCUCACCAAGGCGACGAUCCGUAACUGGUCUGAGAGGAUGAUCAGUCACACUGGAACUGAGACACGGUCCAGACUCCUACGGGAGGCAGCAGUGGGGAAUAUUGGACAAUGGGCGAAAGCCUGAUCCAGCCAUGCCGCGUGUGUGAAGAAGGUCUUCGGAUUGUAAAGCACUUUAAGUUGGGAGGAAGGGCAGUAAGUUAAUACCUUGCUGUUUUGACGUUACCGACAGAAUAAGCAC
rnacentral:rRNA from 1 species